rnacentral:rRNA from 1 species
AGAGUUUGAUCAUGGCUCAGAUUGAACGCUGGCGGCAGGCUUAACACAUGCAAGUCGAGCGGAGACUUCGGUCUUAGCGGCGAACGGGUGAGUAAUACCUAGGAAUCUGCCCAUUAGCGGGGGACAACGUUUCGAAAGGAACGCUAAUACCGCAUACGCCCUACGGGGGAAAGCAGGGGAUCUUUUGACCUUGCACUAAUGGAUGAGCCUAGGCCGGAUUAGCUAGUUGGUAGGGUAAAGGCCUACCAAGGCGACGAUCUGUAGCUGGUCUGAGAGGAUGACCAGCCACACUGGAACUGAGACACGGUCCAGACUCCUACGGGAGGCAGCAGUGGGGAAUAUUGGACAAUGGGCGCAAGCCUGAUCCAGCCAUGCCGCGUGUGUGAAGAAGGCCUUCGGGUUGUAAAGCACUUUAAGCGAGGAGGAAAGUUUAUAGGUUAAUACCCUAUAGAAUUGACGUUACUCGCAGAAUAAGCACCGGCUAACUCUGUGCCAGCAGCCGCGGUAAUACAGAGGGUGCAAGCGUUAAUCGGAAUUACUGGGCGUAAAGCGCGCGUAGGCGGUUUGUUAAGUCGGAUGUGAAAUCCCUGGGCUCAACCUAGGCACUGCAUCCGAUACUGGCUGACUAGAGUGUGGGAGAGGAAGGUAGAAUUCCAGGUGUAGCGGUGAAAUGCGUAGAGAUCUGGAGGAAUACCGAUGGCGAAGGCAGCCUUCUGGCCAAAUACUGACGCUGAGGUGCGAAAGCAUGGGGAGCAAACAGGAUUAGAUACCCUGGUAGUCCAUGCCGUAAACGAUGUCAACUAGCCGUUGGGCUCCUUGAGGCCUUAGUGGCGCAGCUAACGCGAUAAGUUGACCGCCUGGGGAGUACGGUCGCAAGACUAAAACUCAAAUGAAUUGACGGGGGCCCGCACAAGCGGUGGAGCAUGUGGUUUAAUUCGAUGCAACGCGAAGAACCUUACCUGGCCUUGACAUGUCUGGAAUCUUGUAGAGAUACGAGAGUGCCUUCGGGAAUCAGAACACAGGUGCUGCAUGGCUGUCGUCAGCUCGUGUCGUGAGAUGUUGGGUUAA